UAACACGUAUGCAAUCCACCUGUAACAGGGGGAUAACCCGGAGAAAUCCGGACUAAUACCCCAUAAUAUGGGCGCUCCGCAUGGAGAGUCCAUUAAAGAGAGCAAUCUUGGUUACAGACGAGCAUGCGCUCCAUUAGCCAGUUGGCGGGGUAACGGCCCACCAAGGCGACGAUCAGUAGCCGGACUGAGAGGUUGAACGGCCACAUUGGGACUGAGACACGGCCCAG
rnacentral:rRNA from 1 species